rnacentral:rRNA from 1 species
UACGUAGGGUCCGAGCGUUGUCCGGAAUUAUUGGGCGUAAAGGGCUCGUAGGCGGUUUGUCGCGUCGGGAGUGAAAACGCCGGGCUUAACCCGGUGCUUGCUUUCGAUACGGGCAGACUGGAGGUAUGCAGGGGAGAACGGAAUUCCUGGUGUAGCGGUGAAAUGCGCAGAUAUCAGGAGGAACACCGGUGGCGAAGGCGGUUCUCUGGGCCUUACCUGACGCUGAGGAGCGAAAGCGUGGGGGAGCGAACAGG